rnacentral:rRNA from 1 species
UGACCCGUCUUGAAACACGGACCAAGGAGUCUAGUUAAGUAUCGAGUUGAUCGGUCUUGAUUAGGCCAGAAUGGGAAUUUCGUAUUCCCGAUUGAAAGCAAAGUGAAAUCAAAUUAUGUGAUCCUAUCUCCUCCAAAAAGGACUAGGCGCAACAUAUACCCACUCGUAUAACUAUACGCGCAAGUGUUAGUUGGGUGGAGUAAAGAGAUACUUGACUGGUACCCGAAAGAUGGUGAACUAUGCCUGGGCAAAUUGAAGCCAGAGGAAACUCUGGUGGAGGAUUGUAGCGAUUCUGACGUGCAAAUCGAUCGUCAGACCUGGGUAUAGGGGCGAAAGACUAAUCGAACCAUCUAGUAGCU